UACGUAGGUGGCAAGCGUGUCCGGAAUUAUUGGGCGUAAAGCGCGCGCAGGCGGCCCUUUAAGUCUGAUGUGAAAGCCCACGGCUCAACCGUGGAGGGUCAUUGGAAACUGGGGGACUUGAGUGCAGGAGAGAAGAGUGGAAUUCCACGUGUAGCGGUGAAAUGCGUAGAGAUGUGGAGGAACACCAGUGGCGAAGGCGACUCACUGGUCCAUAACUGACGCUGAGGCACGAAAGCGUGGGGAGCAAACAGG
rnacentral:rRNA from 1 species